CCUACGGGAGGCAGCAGUAAGGAAUAUUGGUCAAUGGGCGGAAGCCUGAACCAGCCAUGCCGCGUGCAGGAAGACGGCCCUACGGGUUGUAAACUGCUUUUGUACCGGAAUAAACCUCAUUAUGUAUAAUGAGCUGAAUGUACGGUAAGAAUAAGGAUCGGCUAACUCCGUGCCAGCAGCCGCGGUAAU
rnacentral:rRNA from 1 species